rnacentral:rRNA from 16 species
UUGGAAUGGCGCCGGGAGCCACUGCCUUUGGCUUCGGUCGAGGUAAAGGGGAUUCCCACUGCAGCGGUCCAAUACGAAGAGAUCGGGAGGCAUACCAGCGGCGGAUGCGCUGUACUGGGCCCCAGUGAC